UUCAGAAACUCCGAGCUGCACUCGCUCCCUUAAAGGGGACGCGGCGGUGCAGAAAUGUAGGGCCGAGCCGGGGCGGUCGACCACCUGCCGUUCAUCGGGGCUGGUUCUGGUCACCGCUGGGUCCCCACGUACAACAGAACGCUGCUACCCUGGAUGGCUGACCGCCCUGACCCGCUGAUUAUAGGGACAAUGCAAGUGGGCACCCGGAGCCCAUGGGACGUGGCAGUGCUUUAUUGCCAUGCCUGUGCAGAACUGAGUCAUGUUAAUAUUUAAUUCGAGGACUUCGUGUGAGAGGAAGGAAGUGACGGCAGGGGCUGAGAUGCCGGCAGCUCCCACUAAAGCCGCGCCACCUUCGUGCCGUGUAAAUAGCACCAGCUCUGGGAUUUCUUGAUGCUUUGCUGAAAUUAGCACCUGAAAAAAAGAGCAGCUGCCAAAGCCACAUUUAAAUAAGACGGGCAGGCUUUGGUAGGAAGAGGAGAGCGGGUUGGAGAGUGCUUGGGUUCCUUGAAGUGCAUUUGGCCCCACACCGACCUCCUCAUGAGCCUGGUAACGCAUCCUGAGCCCCACACGGUGCUUCAGGGAGCAGUGCAGGCAGCAACCAGGAUUAUAAUCCUCUUGGUUGGGGCUGGCAGAUGACACGUGUGGCUCAUCAUAAAUGAGGAGGAAUGAAGCAACCCUCGCACCAAGGACAGAACAGAGCUAAAGCAGGAAAAGCAGGCGGGGAGGUGCAAGAUGGGGAGGACUCUGUGAGGCUCAAGGGAAGUAUGGGGCCUCUGUCUGUAUGUGGCAAUGGGAUACCUAUAGAUAAGUGAGCUGGGGGAGGAAGCAGGAGGUGCAGGCAUAGACUUGCUAGAGGAAAAACAGAGCCAGUGCUUCUCUUAAUUGUUUAUUUCAGUUCUUAUUAAAGCAUUUUUCCCUA